rnacentral:rRNA from 1 species
AGGACGAACGCUGGCGGCGUGCUUAACACAUGCAAGUCGAACGGAAAGGCCCGCUUGCGGGUACUCGAGUGGUGAACGGGUGAGUAACACGUGGGCAACCUGCCCUCAGCUCUGGGAUAACUCCGGGAAACCGGUGCUAAUACUGGAUAUCAACUUUGCCUCGCACGGGGUGUUGUUGAAAGUUUUUCGGCUGGGGAUGGGCCCGCGGCCUAUCAGCUUGUUGGUGGGGUGAUGGCCUACCAAGGCGACGACGGGUA